rnacentral:rRNA from 1 species
GGUAUUCCAAUUGAGGAGAGCAAGGAGGAAAUGCUAUCUCUGCAUCGGUUCGAUCGAAGGAACAAUCAGGAUAUAUCGGAUUGGGCAAACAAACACUGUGCGUGGAUAGAAAUUUGGAAUCAAAGAGACACGUUAGUGCAAUCAGAGAAUAGACCUCACAAUCAGUCAGCAUAUCAGAAGUACCAAGUGUGGUAUGCGGAUCGUUACCGGUUAAAGCUGAAGCCUAGUUGGACUCAUGAGGAGUGGUCGGAGUUGGUGUCUGAAGACCCGGAGACUGCACAAGGUUAUCAAACCUUCAACAUGGCUAUGAGAGACACCAGAGGGGCUCACGUUGACUAUGCACCGAUGCAUGAUGAAAUGGUAGUCUGUUUGACCUAUUCUAACAUACUUGCAUCAUGUUGUCUUCUUUCAAAUACAUAA